ACCAGGGUUUGUAUGGAGAGGUCGUCCAUAAGUAUAGUCCAAAUCAGCAGUUCUCAAGGCCUGGGAUUAUAUAGGAACAGAUUGUCAUUUUGUGAGAGAUUAGGGCCUAAAUUAAUGUAGUGAGUUGAGGCCCUAAACGCUAACAUUGUCCUAGAUUUAUGUAACCUUCAGUUUUGAUUUGUCACAUUGAUAAAUGUAACAUUGUAAUGAACUGUUGCAUUACGUAAGUACAAUAGUGUCGCAUGACAAUAAAGAUCAAAUCUGCUUAAUAAACACCUUAGUUUAAUUCUGCAUAUCUCUCCAUAAUCAGUGUAAUUUUUUUAAAUACUUUUUUAUACUUAUUUUAUAUAUAUAUAUAUAUAUAUAUAUAUAUAUAUAUAUAUUUCCAGAUUGAAAUGCCACCACGAAUCAGCCCUCUUAAGGAUGCCAUGCAUCAUGUUGUCAUGAAGUCUGAGAAAACUAAAUUAGAGGUGAACUACAUUAAUGCGGUGAAAGGACGUGGAUUAUUUGCAAAAGGUUCCUUUUGCAAAGGAGAUUUUAUUGUGGAGUACAGGGGUGAGUUGAUCAAUUAUGGAGAGGAGAAGAAAACUCUACCACCCAUCCUGUGCUGUUUUUAUGUUCGAGUUUAAGUGGAGAGGGAAAACGUGGUGCAUUGAUGCAUCUAGGGAAGAUGGAUCGUUUGGGCGGUUAGUUAACGAUGACCACCAACAUCCAAAUUGUAAGAUGAAGAAAAUCGAUGUGAAUGGAAAGGCACACCUGUGUUUAUUUGCGCUGAAAGACAUUAAAGAAGGAGAAGAAAUCACAUAUGAUUAUGGGGGAGACGACUGCCCAUGGAGAACCCAAGAGAGCAGCAUUGCUGCUAAUAGCAGAGCAGCAGGUGACUCUGAUGCUUCUCUCCAGUCACAGACUCCAGUGGAUGAUGCUUCUCUCCAGUCACAGACUCCAGUGGAUGAUGCUUCUCUCCAGUCACAGACUCCAGUGGAUGAUGCUUCUCUCCAGUCACAGACUCCAGUGGAUGAUGCUUCUCUCCAGUCACAGACUCCAGUGGAUGAUGCUUCUCUCCAGUCACAGACUCCAGUGGAUGAUGCUUCUCUCCAGUCACAGACUCCAGUGGAUGAUGCUUCUCUCCAGUCACAGACUCCAAUGGAUGAUGCUUCUCUCCAGUCACAGACUCCAAUGGAUGAUGCUUCUCUCCAGUCACAGACUCCAAUGGAUGAUGCUUCUCUCCAGUCACAGACUCCAGUGGAUGAUGCUUCUCUCCAGUCACAGACUCCAGUGGAUGAUGCUUCUCUCCAGUCACAGACUCCAGUGGAUGAUGCUUCUCUCCAGUCACAGACUCCAAUGGAUGAUGCUUCUCUCCAGUCACAGACUCCAAUGGAUGAUGCUUCUCUCCAGUCACAGACUCCAGUGGAUGAUGCUUCUCUCAGUCACAGACUCCAGUGGAUGAUGCUUCUCUCCAGUCACAGACUCCAGUGGAUGAUGCUUCUCUCCAGUCACAGACUCCAGUGGAUGAUGCUUCUCUCCAGUCACAGACUCCAGUGGAUGAUGCUUCUCUCCAGUCACAGACUCCAGUGGAUGAUGCUUCUCUCCAGUGACAGACUCCAGUGGAUGAUGCUUCUCUCAGUCACAGACUCCAGUGGAUGAUGCUUCUCUCCAGUCACAGACUCCAAUGGAUGAUGCUUCUCUCCAGUCACAGACUCCAGUGGAUGAUGCUUCUCUCCAGUCACAGACUCCAGUGGAUGAUGCUUCUCUCCAGUC
ensembl:lncRNA